rnacentral:rRNA from 1 species
CGGAUCUGUAAGUCAGUGGUGAAAUCUCACAGCUCAACUGUGAAACUGCCAUUGAUACUGCAGGUCUUGAGUAAGGUAGAAGUGGCUGGAAUAAGUAGUGUAGCGGUGAAAUGCAUAGAUAUUACUUAGAACACCAAUUGCGAAGGCAGGUCACUAUGUCUUAACUGACGCUGAUGGACGAAAGCGUGGGGAGCGAACAGGAUUAGAUACCCUGGUAGUCCACGCCGUAAACGAUGCUAACUCGUUUUUGGGGCUUUAUGCUUCAGAGACUAAGCGAAAGUGAUAAGUUAGCCACCUGGGGAGUACGUUCGCAAGAAUGAAACUCAAAGGAAUUGACGGGGGCCCGCACAAGCAGCGGAGCAUGUGGUUUAAUUCGAAGCAACGCGAAGAACCUUACCUAGACUUGACAUCUCCUGCAUUACCCUUAAUCGGGGAAGUUCCUUCGGGGACAGGAUGACAGGUGGUGCAUGGUUGUCGUCAGCUCGUGUCGUGAGAUGUUGGGUUAAGUCCCGCAACGAGCGCAACCCUCGUUCUAUGUUGCCAGCACGUAAUGGUGGGGACUCAUAGGAGACUGCCGGGGUUAACUCGGAGGAAGGUGGGGAUGACGUCAAAUCAUCAUGCCCCUUAUGUCUUGGGCUUCACGCAUGCUACAAUGGCCGGUACAAAGGGUUGCGAUACUGUGAGGUUGAGCUAAUCCCAAAAAGCCGGUCUCAGUUCGGAUUGGGGUCUGCAACUCGACCCCAUGAAGUCGGAGUCGCUAGUAA